AUGCUGUGAGCUCGAUGAGUAGGGCGGGACACGUGGUAUCCUGUCUGAAUAUGGGGGGACCAUCCUCCAAGGCUAAAUACUCCUGACUGACCGAUAGUGAACCAGUACCGUGAGGGAAAGGCGAAAAGAACCCCGGCGAGGGGAGUGAAAAAGAACCUGAAACCGUGUACGUACAAGCAGUGGGAGCACAGAGCAAUCUGUGUGACUGCGUACCUUUUGUAUAAUGGGUCAGCGACUUAUAUUCUGUAGCAAGGUUAACCGAAUAGGGGAGCCGAAGGGAAACCGAGUCUUAACUGGGCGUUAAGUUGCAGGGUAUAGACCCGAAACCCGGUGAUCUAGCCAUGGGCAGGUUGAAGGUUGGGUAACACUAACUGGAGGACCGAACCGACUAAUGUUGAAAAAUUAGCGGAUGACUUGUGGCUGGGGGUGAAAGGCCAAUCAAACCGGGAGAUAGCUGGUUCUCCCCGAAAGCUAUUUAGGUAGCGCCUCGUGAAUUCAUCUCCGGGGGUAGAGCACUGUUUCGGCAAGGGGGUCAUCCCGACUUACCAACCCGAUGCAAACUGCGAAUACCGGAGAAUGUUAUCACGGGAGACACACGGCGGGUGCUAACGUCCGUCGUGAAGAGGGAAACAACCCAGACCGCCAGCUAAGGUCCCAAAGUCAUGGUUAAGUGGGAAACGAUGUGGGAAGGCCCAGACAGCCAGGAUGUUGGCUUAGAAGCAGCCAUCAUUUAAAGAAAGCGUAAUAGCUCACUGGUCGAGUCGGCCUGCGCGGAAGAUGUAACGGGGCUAAACCAUGCACCGAAGCUGCGGCAGCGACGCUUAUGCGUUGUUGGGUAGGGGAGCGUUCUGUAAGCCUGCGAAGGUGUGCUGUGAGGCAUGCUGGAGGUAUCAGAAGUGCGAAUGCUGACAUAAGUAACGAUAAAGCGGGUGAAAAGCCCGCUCGCCGGAAGACCAAGGGUUCCUGUCCAACGUUAAUCGGGGCAGGGUGAGUCGACCCCUAAGGCGAGGCCGAAAGGCGUAGUCGAUGGGAAACAGGUUAAUAUUCCUGUACUUGGUGUUACUGCGAAGGGGGGACGGAGAAGGCUAUGUUGGCCGGGCGACGGUUGUCCCGGUUUAAGCGUGUAGGCUGGUUUUCCAGGCAAAUCCGGAAAAUCAAGGCUGAGGCGUGAUGACGAGGCACUACGGUGCUGAAGCAACAAAUGCCCUGCUUCCAGGAAAAGCCUCUAAGCAUCAGGUAACAUCAAAUCGUACCCCAAACCGACACAGGUGGUCAGGUAGAGAAUACCAAGGCGCUUGAGAGAACUCGGGUGAAGGAACUAGGCAAAAUGGUGCCGUAACUUCGGGAGAAGGCACGCUGAUAUGUAGGUGAAGCGACUUGCUCGUGGAGCUGAAAUCAGUCGAAGAUACCAGCUGGCUGCAACUGUUUAUUAAAAACACAGCACUGUGCAAACACGAAAGUGGACGUAUACGGUGUGACGCCUGCCCGGUGCCGGAAGGUUAAUUGAUGGGGUCAGCGCAAGCGAAGCUCUUGAUCGAAGCCCCGGUAAACGGCGGCCGUAACUAUAACGGUCCUAAGGUAGCGAAAUUCCUUGUCGGGUAAGUUCCGACCUGCACGAAUGGCGUAAUGAUGGCCAGGCUGUCUCCACCCGAGACUCAGUGAAAUUGAACUCGCUGUGAAGAUGCAGUGUACCCGCGGCAAGACGGAAAGACCCCGUGAACCUUUACUAUAGCUUGACACUGAACAUUGAGCCUUGAUGUGUAGGAUAGGUGGGAGGCUUUGAAGUGUGGACGCCAGUCUGCAUGGAGCCGACCUUGAAAUACCACCCUUUAAUGUUUGAUGUUCUAACGUGGACCCGUAAUCCGGGUUGCGGACAGUGUCUGGUGGGUAGUUUGACUGGGGCGGUCUCCUCCUAAAGAGUAACGGAGGAGCACGAAGGUUGGCUAAUCCUGGUCGGACAUCAGGAGGUUAGUGCAAUGGCAUAAGCCAGCUUGACUGCGAGCGUGACGGCGCGAGCAGGUGCGAAAGCAGGUCAUAGUGAUCCGGUGGUUCUGAAUGGAAGGGCCAUCGCUCAACGGAUAAAAGGUACUCCGGGGAUAACAGGCUGAUACCGCCCAAGAGUUCAUAUCGACGGCGGUGUUUGGCACCUCGAUGUCGGCUCAUCACAUCCUGGGGCUGAAGUAGGUCCCAAGGGUAUGGCUGUUCGCCAUUUAAAGUGGUACGCGAGCUGGGUUUAGAACGUCGUGAGACAGUUCGGUCCCUAUCUGCCGUGGGCGCUGGAGAACUGAGGGGGGCUGCUCCUAGUACGAGAGGACCGGAGUGGACGCAUCACUGGUGUUCGGGUUGUCAUGCCAAUGGCACUGCCCGGUAGCUAAAUGCGGAAGAGAUAAGUGCUGAAAGCAUCUAAGCACGAAACUUGCCCCGAGAUGAGUUCUCCCUGACUCCUUGAGAGUCCUGAAGGAACGUUGAAGACGACGACGUUGAUAGGCCGGGUGUGUAAGCGCAGCGAUGCGUUGAGCUAACCGGUACUAAUGAACCGUGAG
rnacentral:rRNA from 1 species